rnacentral:rRNA from 1 species
CCUACGGGAGGCAGCAGUAAGGAAUAUUGGUCAAUGGAGGCAACUCUGAACCAGCCAUGCCGCGUGCAGGAAGACUGCCCUAUGGGUUGUAAACUGCUUUUAUCCGGGAAUAAACCUACUUACGUGUAAGUAGCUGAAUGUACCGGAAGAAUAAGGAUCGGCUAACUCCGUGCCAGCAGCCGCGGUAAU